GGGAGUGUAGCCUAAUGGAUAGGCAUCGAUCUUCUAAAUCGACCAAUGUAGGUUCGACUCCUACCACUCCUGCCA
rnacentral:tRNA from 1 species